UUGGAGGGCAAGUCUGGUGCCAGCAGCCGCGGUAAUUCCGGCUCCAAUAGCGUAUAUUAAAGUUGUUGCAGUUAAAAAGCUCGUAGUUGAAUUUCGGGAUCAAUAUUUCGGUCAUGCCGUUGGUAUGCACUGUUAUCAUUGACUUCUCACCUUCUAAAGAACCGUAAUGCCAUUAAUUUGGUGUUACGGGGAAUUAGGACUGUUACCUUGAAAAAAUUAGAGUGUUUAAAGCAGGCUCACGCUUGAAUACAUUAGCAUGGAAUAAUGAAAUAGGACAUCCGAUUCUAUUUUGUUGGUUUCUAGGAUCGACGUAAUGAUUAAUAGGGAUAGUUGGGGGCAUUAGUAUUCAAUUGUCAGAGGUGAAAUUCUUGGAUUUAUUGAAGACUAACUACUGCGAAAGCAUUUGCCAAGGAUGUUUUCAUUAAUCAAGAACGAAAGUUAGGGGAUCGAAGACGAUCAGAUACCGUCGUAGUCUUAACCAUAAACUAUGCCGACUAGGGAUCGGAUGUUGUUAAUUUUUUAAUGACUCAUUCGGCGCCUUACGGGAAAC
rnacentral:rRNA from 1 species